UCCUUUCACCCACUAAAAUUUCUGACAAAAACAACCGACCAGUUUCCUUCUGUGAGUUUAUUCUGAGACAACAAACAUCGUCGUGACCUGAAAUCCUCAACCUUGGACCAGAUAUUCCACAAGUUUAUCUUCAUUAACACCACACAGCCUCUUUCACACUCUCAGCUCUAUGAUUAGCUGAGGAAGUCUCACCAUCCACCUGCACAUUUGCUGAAUCAGUGCUUCUGCAGCUGCAUGAGGAAUAAAAUAUAACCGUGUCUGGUGCCUCCUGGUGGCCGGAAAGACGACUAACUCCAUAAAAAAAACAAUAACUUACAUAAGAAACAAUAAAACGCUGUUCAGCAAAUGUGGAAGAAAUGGUGAAGUUCCUCGUUUGCAUCAAUAAUUCUAUUAAAUCAGGCAGCAGUGGAGAGCAAACGGUGCAAUAAACACUCGUGUUACACUUACAUUUUGCAAAUAAAACCCACACAAUACAAAAAUAGCAUAUUUAUAGUAGCAAAGCACAUCGGUUCUUUGGUUGCUCCUCAUUGCAAAUCAAAACUUGGCACACUGUGUUUAUCUCAUGCUCCAAAUGUCUUAAGUUCCUUAAAAAGCAUAUUAUAGAAGAAGACAGCAUCAUCAGGAGAUGAAAUAAAGCACUUAAGCUCUUCCUAUAAUUUCUUUUUUGCAAGAAAUUGAAUUAGGCACCAUAAAUUUAACGCUGUGUAGAUAAUUUAUACAUAAAUGUGUAAAGUACUCUGAGCUCUAAACUCACCUGGCACCACAUUUCAAAAUACAAACAGCAGGUUCAAGUGUCAGGAUUCUAAUACAAGCGGUUGUUCGCCAUCAGUUGGAGAAAAUUCAUGACUUUUAUGAUAUUAAAGCUGCAAUAAUCUCAUUUUUAUCCACUUGGGGGCAGCACAACAUGCUGAAACACAACAUUAAGACUCUGAUUUACAAGCAUGUAGCUAAAAUAGCGUUGAUCUUGGGUUGUAUUUCUGGCAACUACAUUUCAAUUUCAAACUCCUUUUGUGUCUGUUUUAGCCUCCAAAGGAAAUAUUAGCUUCAUGAGAUUGGUAAAAGUGAACCAAACAGUAAAGUUACACACUGUAAAACCAAAACAAUGACAUAAAAGACACCAAAACAAGCCAAAAACACCAAAAACCAUCACUUUUCCAACACAUCUGUCUAAAAAAACUGUAUUGUUUACUGUUUUUUCUGCUCUUUCACAAAAAAAAUGGAUUAACAGGCUUUUCUCAGGUGAAUCAACAUCUGAUCCUCUGUAAACUGUACAAUUAAUCAUCAAAUUACAACAAACAAAGACAGACAAUUAGCCAAAACACAAUCCAAAAUACUCAACAAACACUUAAAGGCAGGCGCUUUUCAUUGAUCGAUUGCUUUGGUCUGGCUUUGCUCUUCAUUAACUGGUGCAGCAUAAACGAGGCAUUUUUGAUUACGUGAAAAGGAGCAUCUUAACAGCUUUAAUGAGUUAAUUAGUCUUAAAAUAAUUUAAUAAAGUGAGUUUUAAUCUGAUAACUCCCCAAAAAAGAGUGUAUUUCUGGCUUUUGUUGGCAUAAAAGCAGCGUUUUACCACAUCUCACUAAAGUAUUAUAAAGAAAAGCAACAUUUCCAACAGCCUAAAAAGCGCCAUUUUACUCUGUCAGUGUCAGUGCAUGUCUUGAAAGUUUUAGAUUUUAAUUAAAAAAAAAAACAGAAAAUUUCCAGAAAACACCAUUUUUAUGGUGUUGUCUGGCUUGUGGUGGUGUUACAGGCCUGAAAAUAUCACUUUUUAUGAUGCUUUCACUGAAACGUCGCUCUAAAACUUCCAAAACGCCAGUACUCUGGUGACUUACAGCAAUAUUUGAAUCCAUGUCACUGGAUUGUCGCCAGAAAGUGUAAUUUUUGGCAGGAUAAAUAGCGUCAUAUCACUGCAGGUCUCAUGUUUUGGUGGGUUUGAUGAGCUAAAAAGUGCUGAUUUUAAUUAGAUCACGAUAAAAAGCGGCGCUUUACUGUAAAUCACCAUAACACUGGAGUUUUAGUGGCGUUGGAGAAUGUAAAAAGCAGCAUUUUAAUCAGAGAACUAUGAAAAGCAGCAUUUUCUCCAGCUUUAGGCAACGGAAAAGGCGACAUUUUAAUACGGAGCACAAGAGUGGCGUAAACAGACUUUUUUUUGACAGCGUAAAAAGCAUUGUUUUAGUGUAAGUCAAUGGUGACGCUAUUAAAAGCACUGCUACUAAAAAAAAACUACUAUAAAAGUGAGAUUUUUCCACAUUUGACAGCAUAAAAAGUAGCGUUUUAUAGUCAUUUGCGUAGUUUUUCCAUCCAAUGAAUCUGUAAUCAGUGAAGAAGAAGGGCAGGCCAGACUAAUCAAGCACUGAUGAUCUAUUUUGCAUUUCUGGCAGCCUAGAAAAAAAAUCACAAUUUUGCACUUGGGUGUUAUUCUGUUAUCUAUAGUACAAUAAAUAUACUUAUUGUACUAUAUUAAUA
ensembl:lncRNA